rnacentral:rRNA from 1 species
CGGAGGAAAAGAAACUAACAAGGAUUCCCCUAGUAACUGCGAGUGAAGCGGGAAAAGCUCAAAUUUAAAAUCUGRCGGUCUCUGGCCGUYCGAGUUGUAAUCUAGAGAAGUGUUAUCCGCGUUGGACCGUGUACAAGUUUCCUGGAAUGGAACGUCAUAGAGGGUGAGAAUCCCGUCUUUGACACGGACUGCCAGUGCUUUGUGAUAYGCUCUCAAAGAGUCGAGUUGUUUGGGAAUGCAGCUCAAAAUGGGUGGUAAAUUCCAUCUAAAGCUAAAUAUUGGCGAGAGACCGAUAGCGAACAAGUACCGUGAGGGAAAGAUGAAAAGAACUUUGGAAAGAGAGUUAAACAGUACGUGAAAUUGCUGAAAGGGAAACGCUUGAAGUCAGUCGCGUUGGCCGGGAAUCAACCUUGCUUUUGCUGGGCGUACUUUCCGGUUGACGGGUCAGCAUCAAUUUUGACCGUUGGAUAAAGGUCAGGGGAAUGUGGCAUCUUCGGAUGUGUUAUAGCCCUUGGUCGCAUACAACGAUUGGGAUUGAGGAACUCAGCACGCCGCAAGGCCGGGAAUUUAUUCCACGUUCGUGCUUAGGAUGCUGGCAUAAUGGCUUUAAUCGACCCGUCUUGAAACACGGACCAAGGAGUCUAACAUGCCUGCGAGUGUUUGGGUGGAAAACCCGAGCGCGUAAUGAAAGUGAAAGUUGAGAUCCCUGUCGCGGGGAGCAUCGACGCCCGGACCAGACCUUUUGUGACGGAUCCGCGGUAGAGCAUGUAUGUUGGGACCCGAAAGAUGGUGAACUAUGCCUGAAUAGGGUGAAGCCAGAGGAAACUCUGGUGGAGGCUCGUAGCGAUUCUGACGUGCAAAUCGAUCGUCAAAUUUGGGUAUAGGGGCGAAAGACUAAUCGA